rnacentral:lncRNA from 1 species
CCAUUCUUACAAAAGUGAAACCAUUAUUGAAAUCCUCACCUGAUAGUUAUUGGACCCAACUCCAUCUCCACCCUAUAGCAUCUCAUGCAAAUAGAGUGGUUGCAUCUUUCUUGAUGCAACUGUAUCACUGUAUCCAGUCGAGAACAGUCAACACCCAGAAGGGCCUGCAUAUCUACAACAGUGAAAGACUGCUCGACUUAAUAUUUAUGAGAAGAUUUAAUUUAGAUCUUCUUUAGAUUUAAUUAUUUAUUUAUGUCAUAUAUUAAUCCAUAAUUAUAUUGGAUCUACUGGUGAGAUCAUAUCUUAACUCAUCAAGGCC